UGACUAGCAAUGAGCUUUUUUUCAGAAAGAGGCAUCUUGAUGUUUCUGAUAGUCAAAGAAACUAAGUAAGAAUGAAAGGGGAAAAUCUCUUUUUCUGCUCCUAUGUAUAUGUAAAAGAAUUCAUGCUUUCUGAUUUUCAGCAUCAGUGGCAGCUCUGUAUUGAAGGUUGAAGUCUGUUGUUGGAGAUCAGACUUUCAUUAAAACACGAAGUACACCUUUUCUUUGAAAGGACUAUAGUACAGAAACCUAUGGGCUGCAUUUCUUUUUACUCAAGACUCUCACUGAAGACAACAGGAUUUAGGGCAUACCCCAAAUAUUGCAGCAACCUUGCAGGCCUGCUUUCCUAUUUGAAAUCCUACAGUCAAAACCCAUGAGCAAACCCCAUCUGGAAAGAAAUGGAGAAGACGACACAUGAAUAGCCUCUCCAGAGCAGAGGUGUAAGACACAAAGACGGGUGCCGAAUGGUGGAAGUGUGAUACCAGAAAUUCUGCUUAACAUACCUGAGACCCAGUUAUUCAAGGCAAGUGACAGUUUCAAUCAACAAGAAACUCAAUUUUCAUUGAUACAGCAGCAAGGUAUGUCAUUCUGCCAGCAAAGAUAAAUUCAUGGAGCGUUACGGUAAUUAAUAUGUACAUCAGAAAAGGAGACUCUGCAUCCUCCUUUAAUGAGCUAUUCUUAGAGCUAAAAGAAUUUCCUAACCCGUGAUAGGAGAAGGAGAUUUAACCUUACCCUGUCAAACUUAACAGCUAGAUCAAAAGUGUUAUAAGAGGGGGAAUUCCAAGUCAUCUCAAUUAUACAGCACCACAUGAAAUAAUUAUAUUUGGUUACCCUUUAGAAGGGUAUGUUCUUGAGGGAUAACUUUUACAUAUUGCUGCUCCAUACAUGACUACAUUCUGUAAGACUGUGCUGCUUUUGAUUUUUAAAUAGCUCACACUGCCAUAACCUCUGCAUAUUAUCUCUAACUAUGAAUGACAGUACUAUAUUUACACACAGAUACCAUAUUCUUGAAGAAGAUAUCUUCUCUUAACUAUUCAGAUCUACAACUUAAAUCACAAGAAAUUAAAGGCUUUGUUGAGUCUUCCCUAAUAUAAUGGAAAGUUAUCAGAGAAGACUUUAUGUGUUUUACUAAUAGAGCUAAUAUACAAUGCAAAAGACUUAUUUGAAAAGAAAAGAAUGAAGAGAGUAAAACUCCAAUCAAACCUCUUUCAGUUAAUAUGCAAACUUCCACUCAAUGCUGAAUGUAAAAUGCACUAACCUGAAAGGCACGAUGUACUGAAUUAAACUUAUAAAAAGGCUUGUUUUCAUGUUUCAAGGUACUAAAUAGGUUAUGAAAUUAAUAGAAUUUACUGCAGAAUUUAUUCCAGUUCCCUACAAUUGUGUCUGGGUUAAAAGAGGUCUUGACAUACAUGAAACAUUGGUCUACAACAUACAAAUGAAAUCAUCUAUAAACAAAACAGGGCAAAUGAUAUAAGCUGAAAUACUUAGGUUUAUUCUCAAGCUCAAAAACUGGGGCAAGACACUUGGCUAAUGAUUUAAGACAAAAUUUGCAAAACAUUUGCAGACAACAUGUAAUUUUUCUUGCUGUUGGCAAUUUUUUGAGAAUACUUAUGUUUCAUUUCAUAGAAAGGGAAUUAGAUUCAAACAAAAUGACAGCAUGUGGCAAUUUUUUUUUUUGCUGUUAGUGGUAUUGGCUUUUUUUUUUUUCCAGAAUACGAAUACCCAUGCUUCAUUUUACAGAAAAGGAAUGACUUAUUGGGCAACUCCUUAAAAAGAAAACCCUGAAACAUUCUGCUGACAUGUGUAUUCCAUAUUUCACAAUUCUGCCCCUUUACCAAAACACACCAAGAUCAAGUAGAAGUCAUAAAGCCUAUCUCAUCCAUUGACACUGGGCUCAACAUCUUCCACAUAACUUCAAAUCCUUUAAGGAGAGCAGUGCAACAUGACUUACUUGUAAAAUAAAUGGAAAUAAAAAAAAAUCCUCAAAACAAAAAGAGCUGGACAAGUGUCAGGGAGAAGAUAAAGCAAGUAAAUAAAGCAAAGAAAAAAUAAAGAAGGAUAUUAGCUUGGGAAGGUACUAAUGUAGUAAAUGUAUUAUUUAUAAAAACAAAGCUAAUGAAAAAUACUAACAAAUGAAAAGAAUUUGAGUGAAAAAUCAUCUGAGAAGUUUUGUUUCAAGCAAUAUAAUGCAACUCAAAUAGGGAAUUCUUCAGGGAACUUCACGUAACUCUUAUUCAGAGCUGUAAGUAACACCACAAUUUGGACAAAAACAGGAAAAAAACCAUAAUGCUAACUUUUAGCAAUGCUACGGUCCUUUCAGUCUGCUAGAGUAAAUAUAAUUGGCAAGCACAGAGACAAGAUUAAAAGCAGGUCUGUUGAUCUAACUAUAUAAAGAAUGUAUAUGGUAUUUUAUACUGCUGUGAGAAAGAAUCUGAAAUAGUUAGUCUUGCUUUUUCCUCACUUUCAGGAUGUCUAACAUGUUUCUAGUAGUCAGCUCUUUUUAAAUGUUAGAUGUAUCAGAUGACUUAGGCCAGACACUCACCAUGAGCACCUUUUAAAGAUGUGACUGGACUACGAAUUUAUUAUUAAUAAUUAUACAGGAGGUUAUGUUCUUUGAGCACUGCAGAUUUCCUGGAUGACAGGAAAGCGGUCACAGUUCACAGAAAUUAUGUAUAUGUACAAAAAACCACCAGUGAAGAUGAGAGUGUAUUUUGAAAUGAAAAGGAAAAAUAAAAAGAUUGCAAACAGAAGACAGAACUGAGGAUGACUAAAUUUUUGGCCUGAUUUGGCCCUUACACAAAUUAUAGGAAUACAAAGAGAAUAUUGGUGGGACUGCUAAAUGAUGGGAUAUUUUCAGUCAGACACACAAUUAAUCUAAAAUGAGAGAAGCUAAAAAGUCCUAUCUGAUGCCACACAGGUAAUACUUGCCCUUAGGUUCUGCAGAGGAACAUUUUAUGUUCAGAGCAGGAUGGUCCCGUUUUAGAGAAUGACUCAGCUCCCAGGAUGGUACCUUUUGUGAGUUUUCCUUGUGCAGGUGUUGAAACAGAUGCCAACACAGCAGUUGCUGAGGAGACAGCUAAGGAGUUACAUAGAAGAAGCAACAGAUAAUUCAUGAACUGUAAGAGUGGGGUUUUUUUGAGUGUGUGCAGUUCAAACAGCAGAAGUUGGAAAAAGAACAAAUAAUUCUAAAAAUUUGAUCAAUGACCUUAUCAAAGAAGAAAUCUCUCUGCUCUAAAGAAGAGAUGGAAUCAAAGCAAAACAAACACAGAAGGAAGAUUGCUAAACAACUAUUAAAUAAUAUUAAGUAAAAUAGUUUUACUAAGUAAGAACGAAGGAAUCACUUCAUUACUACAUACUUCAAUAUUAAAUGUUCAGGAAACAAAAAUGUGGCUAAUUAACCUGAAUAUCCUUAGAAACUCAUACGGAGGGAGAUACUCAAGCCUGGAUAACUAAGAUAACUGUUAGUAAUAAUCUUUGCUCAUUUUAUCUUCUGUAGGUAGCACAGAAGAACAACAAAUCCCUUCCAAAUGUAUGCAAACUGUGAGCUGAACAUUGCAUAGCUUUGCUGUAACUGUAUUUGCUUUUAUUAUGAUAUAUGCAUAAAUGAAAAGGGAAAGCUAUACUACUAUUCUUUUAACUCAACUGCCACGGCUGAAUCUAAAAACAAGUGUAAAAUAUGAACCUAGGAAUGAAAAAAAAAAAUCCAAUUUAAAGGUGUCUCCAUCUUUAAUGAAGAGAAACCCUGUUUCUCUGCGUGAGGAUGGAUGUACUUCUUACUGUUGUCAUCGUGAUUAAUAGAUCACCAGUGUAUGAACGUCUGUGUUCCUAACACAAAUAUGUGCGUGUGUAAGGAUGAAACUUUCUGUAAAAAGUAGAAUUUUGAGUGCUUCAAGAAAAAAAGGUCAAUCAACGAGGUACAAAAAUAUUUCCUAUGGUAAACUGUAUUUUAAAAGAUUGCAUACCUUUAAGUAUAGCUCUGUAACAUUGGGAUUGGGAAGACUGCACCUUCAUAUGUUGUACUGAGAAUACCUUAAGACAUCUAGAAUAGGUCAGAAACCAGGAGUCCCUUAAUUAUGGCCUUACCAAAACACUACGUAUGUGUAUGAUAUGUAAUCUUGUAUCAAGGAUCAACUUCUUGAUACUUCUUGAAGUUCUUGCUAUCUUUUGUUAUCAAGAAGCUAAUCAGGUAACUUUGGAGACAUGUAACUAUGAGAUUGCUGAGACUGGAGAUGUACAUUUAUGAGGAUGGACUACUGAGUAUGACAGAAUACUCUCAAUAGUCUCUUUAGGUGGAUGCCAGAAAACAACAGCUCAAGAUAUGCAUUACAUAUGUAAGGAUAGUAGUUUUCAAUCUUUUGACAAAUGUUGAGAUCAAAAUUUGGGCAAUGUUUGACUAUGAAAUGGCUUCAAUCAUUUUGUCAUUUUCUAUGUAGAAUUUGAUUGUGUGCAUACAUACUCCAUGUCCAGAAAUCAUUGUGAACUAUCUCAUAGUGUAUAACAUGCCUGAUAAUAGACACAUAUAUAACGUAUAGACAUGAAUUACAUCAUAACUUAGCUUUACAGCCUACAGCUGUAAUUUUUAACAGUCUUGGUGAUUGUGCAAUGGUUGUACAUCAUUACAAAGAAUCAAGGAUUACCCUCAGACAUUUAUGGGUUAUCAUCAAGCAAGCCAGACAGGAGAAAAUGAUUGCCUUCCCAAACCAUUAUUUGGUCCUGAUGAGAAGCCCUAAGUCACAAGAGCAUUUGCAACUUUUUUGCUGGACUCAUGGAAUGAUUAGCCUGUAUUUAGUAGACUAUCAAAAGGGAAAAUUGUAGCCUGGUAAACGUGAUUUUUUGCUAUUGCUAGGAAAAGGCAAUUGGUCUGACAGUGCUGGGUCUUAGGACUUGUCUGAGCUUGCCUUGGCCUCAGCUUCAUGUAAUAUGUUCUUACUGGCCGACUGACUAUCGCUGAAGCUCUGUGAGGGCCAUCUGGGAUAAGGAUCUGCCACCCCCAGAGAGUCCCUAUGUGAUAAAGAGCCACUCUUAGCACCGUUUAAGGCUGGGAGAGGCUGUUGUGCAGUUUUCAGACUUCAACUGGGAACCUCAGGAUUUAGGAGGAAAAGCCGUCCCCCCUUCCUGAACAUACCACUUGCAGCAAAGACCUCAGGGGGCUGAUGCCCUGCUGUAACACGAGCCUUUCCCACAUCUGCUUGAGGAAGACCUGAACUGUCAACCGUAGGACCUUGAAGUACACUGGAAAGAAAUUUGUAUUGGAUCUGCAUCAAAAUUGAGCAAUUAACUACUUACUGACUCUUGAACAAAUUAUAGGAGCCUGCCCAAAUGUGGAAAGCUUGCAUACUGUAACGUACUGAGAUAUCUGACAACUGUCUAAAGGACACAGAGAAGCCUUCAAGAACCCAUUCAAGUUGAAUUAAAAGAUGCAGGAACUGCCCUCCUCCUCAAAAGACUGCAGGACCUGCCUUCCUCCUUCCACUUCAGCAGCAGGCAACCUCUCCAUUACAGAACAGCUGGAAGCCUGAAAGCAGAAGCACAGGUAAAGUGCAAACUAUUGUGAAAAACAAGUUUAUGGCUCUUGAUAAUCAGCUGGAAUUUCUCUCCCUUUUAUCUCUCCCUUCUCUCCCAAACUAGUUAACUGUGAGACAGACAGUGAUGCAUUUGCAAAAGAAUGCAAGACUUGCACAGUAAGAUGUGAGAGACAGGAAGACAGAGAAUUAUUAAACUCUGGUUUAACAAAGACGCUGGAAUCACUGUUAUACACUCUGUUUUGAGAAGCACAGGUAAUAAUAAAAACACACAGAUUUUCAGUCUCCACUGAGAGUGCAGAAAUGGGAACUGGGGAAAAAGGUCCUGAUCUAUUAGAUCUGGAUGUGAUAAGUAGUUCGGUUUAUAUCACAAAUGCUAUUUAUUUCAAAAAAAAAAACAACAAACAAAAAAACAUUUAGGCCUUUGGCUGGGGCACGUUCUGUAACAGUACUUCCUACUCAUUCUUCCAGAAAAUACUAGUUGCAUAACAUGAAGGACAAAAGUACACGGAUUUUUUGUAUGUAAAGCUCUGAAUUGCUGCAAGGAGGGAUAGACAUAUACUGCAGCUAAAUAUACAUUGCUGAUGAAAUGAAUCAUUACGGAAACUUUCAUUGUAGCCGAUUUGGGGUAAAGUUAGAAAUGCAUUGCCAAUUUUCAUUAGAUAGUGUGCUGUUAGUUAUCAGCUAGAUAGGGAGGAGAAGCUGCACAGCACAAGCCAAGAUAGGGGAGAUAAGUAACAAACCAAAGGUAACAAUCUAGCAUGUGGCUGUGGAAAUGAGGUAAGGUAACUAGGAGCUGAAACAUUUAUAAUCUGCGACUGAUAAGCAUUGGAAAGAAGCUGCUAAAUAAAUGUCCUCGCUACACAUGUCUAAAGAAAAAAAAAUUCCAGGCCUUAAAAAAAAAAAAAAAA